UUUUUAGUAAAAAUUUUGAUAUCCGACGCUAGGCGUAAUUUCGUGGAAGUGAGACAUAAAAAUCAGCCCAUCUGAAAGAGCCAGUCAUAUCUAAGCCCAAUAACAACAUAUCACGAAGAAAUCGUUGACGAUCAGUCAAAUCACGUGUUUGUCUUGUUUCUUGUCACAGCGUCUCGUUGGAAUUUCUCGUUUGCUCCGCUGUUAGCUCCAUCCGGUGGAAUCUCUGAUUAUUUAUCCUCUGUGAUCACCCCCGUAAGCUCGUCUUCUCUCUUUCGCAUUCUAUCUUCCUUCUACGAGAAUUGAAAUCCUUGCCCAUUAUAAAUUUGCAGUUGAAAUUGCAUUUAGACCAAAAUAGUGGCAUACUUUUGUCAUUUCCUAGUUUUGAAAAUGUUGAACUGCUUUGAUUAUGAAAUUUCUACAAAUUUUAUUUCUUCUCCAGUAGAAAAAAAAAAAUUAGACUUAGCAUGGACUCACAGUCGACCACAACAUGUUCCGCAAAGUGGGUCUGGGGAGGUUAGCCCUACCUGAGAUAGAGAAACCGUUUUCGAUAGACCUCGGUUCAAGAAAAAUCAGUCCAAAGCAAUCCGGAAAAAGAAGUAACGGAAGUGAAAGCAUAACAAAGCAUUCUGAAUAGUUACUAUAGCAUAACAAUAUGAUAGUAAGAGUACAAGAAACUAUAGGAGUAAUAAUAUGAGCUUUGAUAGCAUUUAUAUGUUUUGAAUUUCUGCUGUUUUGAUGAGCCACAAUAAUAAGCUCCUUUUUUUUUUUAUGUUAGAUGGUACAGAUGAGACUCAAUGAAUCUCUGAUAAUGUGUUCUAUGCUGUUGAAACUUAUAUCAAUACCAAGUGCAUAAUGCUUAGCUAAAAACGGCAGUCCCUAGCUAACUGAAUGGCGAGUAUUACACGAAAGAAUUUACAAGUGAAUGCUGGAGAGAAAUUAGAAUUCAAUAGUUUUAUCCAAAUAUCCCUAAUCGUUAAGGUUUGUCGAGGAAGGUCUUUUUUUUUUAAAAGAUUUUUGAGGCACUUAUGGCUGUUUGGUUUUGGGAAUAGGAAGCGGUUCAUGUAGUUAAGCGCAAAUAUUGUAUUGUGAAUUAUAGUAAUUCUACAGAGAGAAAAGAAUAUGGGAAGGAGUUUAGGUAGAGAGAUUCAAAACAGAAAGGGAAGGGCUUUUGACUGAUCAUCUCUUCAAAGAGGGAGGGGAGAACUGGAGCAUAGAUGGUUGUGUACAGAAAGCAGCGGGUGCAGGCACAUAACUCGAGUUAAAUUCAUUUGGAAAUAAUAUAUUCUUGCUAAGAAAAUGUGGAAAAUCCACUGUUUUCAUAAUUUUUGGUCACUAGUGCUUUAUGUGGAAGUAUUCUUAAAAAUGAGAAGCCUUUGUCAAUAUGGCUUUUGGACAUGAAUGAGUGAACUAUUGUCUUUUUUUCCUCAGGAGUGAAGGGAAAUUUUGCGGUUGACUCUCCUGGUUAAUAUAAUAUAGUGCAGAUGGCUAUUGACAGAUAAGGCUGAAUAUUAUCAGUUCGGUGCAAACCUGGCUCUUUAGCAGUGCCUUUACAAAUUUCUGCAGUGGUGUGUGUAAACUUCAGUAAUAGUAAUGUUCCCUUCCAUUUUAGCAUGACAAAGGGUGAAAACCGAACAAAUAUUGCAUGAACAUAGAGGUGAGUCAUUGGAUUCUAGACAUAGCUCCCAUUGUAUACAUUAUAUUCUGUCCCUUACAAUGCGUAACUCUGGGUCACCCCAUUUUUAUCCUUGUAAUGCCUCGAGUUAGAGACAACAGUGGUUGUGAUAACUCACUAGUUAAUAAAACAGUUGUUAAACCAUGUCUGCUACCAAGUCAAUAACAUUUCCACUUUGCGUAGUUUGCCUCCCAAUGUGUAGAGUCGCUGAAUCUCAGAAUCCAUAAGGGGCUGUAUAGGGGCCUGGCAGAGCACAAUCUGGGUAUUUUAUGUGAACGUUGUGGAAGAAGCAAAGAAAAUCUGACUUUUUUUUUAAUUCUCUUGGAUAAUUCCUAGUGUGUUAUGUUCAGUUAUUUCUCUUGGACUCUUUUAAUUCCAUUUUCUAUGGAUAGUUAUGAUUUUAAAAUAUCAUAUACUUACCAACAUGUUAAAAGGCAGCGGGCUCUCAUUGGGGCAGUAAUAUCUAAAAUCGCACCAAGGCUUUAAAAAGCUUUUGUCCUUUUGGUCUCUCAUUUGUCCCUUCUUGUUUGUAUCCCUCUACUGAGUGCUCCUUUUGUAUCGCAUUAUUUUGUUACCUAAGGAAAAUAAAUGUUAAUUUGAGCUAAUGUCUUAUUAUAGAAACUUAUAAAUUACACAAAAUGUUUAACUGUGUGAGAGAUAUGGAGUAAAGAAGAAAACGACACUAUCAAUGUUAUGAGCUAAAUAUGUGCUGUACUAAACCGUUACAUCUUCAGAAAAUAUAUCAUUGCUGUAAUUGAUUUCUCCAAGAGAAGUAUAGUUUUCUAUUAAAAAUUGUUCCAUUUAUAGGAGUGUUACCCUAAUGAUGAAUGUUUUUUUCUCCUAAAAUAUCUUUAAGAUAUUAAAAUAAUAUUUGAUAAUCCGAAAUUGAAGUUCAUAGGGCUUUUGCUUCUUCUCGUAGGGGUAGUUUGGUGUGAGGUAUAAGUCCCGGAAUAAAAUGAAUGACUAUUUUAUCCCAUGUUUGGUGUGAGGUAUUAGUUAGUACAGAGAUUAUUUAUCCCACCAUUUACACCAUAGUGACGGGAUAAGUUAUCCCAUAUACAUGUUAGGAUAACUAAUCCCGGGGUAACUUUUUUCCAACCAAACGACCCCAUAGAGUUUAUGCCCCACAAACAGAGAUAAAAUGCGUCCUGUUCUAUCUUCACAUUUUAGGAAGGGAGGGAGGGGGUGAAUUGAAUUUGAAGUAUGUUGUGAUGUGGUUAUUCUGAUAACAAUAGAUGCUGAGAACUACAAAAAAAGAAACUAUAAACUCAUGCAAAUGUUCAUGUCAUAGCUACUAAGAUAACAUAUAUUGACAUCUAAAUGCAAACCAAAAGCCUCAUGCAUUUACACAUUUGAGCUACAAAACACACUUCUGCUGGCCUAUACUUCUAUAAUCCCAUCGACAAUCCUGUUAGAUUUAUGAAAAUAGUUGCUUUAAUGUCAAAAGUCCAAGAUACUGUUGCAUAUUCUAUAACUCGAAAUACUUAGAGAAUAUAGCGUUCUUUGUUUCUUCUUGUCUGUACCAUCUCAUUCCUUUUCCUUUCCAGCCAUUGCAUCCUUAGAUUUCCUCCCUUUUCAGAAGUUAAAUCCUUUGAUAAGUCCAUUACCCUCCUCAAUUUUUACCAGUUGAUCUUCAUAUGGGAGUUCAUUAGUUCUUCCCACUAGUUCUUGUGCCUUCAAGGAUGCUCCUUCCCAAUCAAUACUAUAAGUGACUAUUAACAUUGAGAUUACACAUGCCACUUGAGCUGCUAGAAGCCCAUAACAAAGACCCAAAAAUCCUAGUUUCCAAACGAAGGCCAAAAUGAUGGCCACUGGUGUUCCCAUCAAAUAGAACGAGUAGAAGUUAAUACCUGCACCAACACCGGGCCUAGCACUUCCCCGAAGCACCCCACAACAUGUUGUUUGUGGACAAUUAGCUAGUUCACAAAGUCCAAUAAUGGGGAGAACGGUCGCUGUUAGCUCCAGUACUUCUCUAUCUUUUGUAAAGACUGUUCCCCAUGCUUCUCUCCCUAAGGUGGUGAGUAAGAAUCCAAAUGUUGAAGUCAAAAAAGCCAGCCCUAUGGCUAUCCCUGUCGCCAAGCGAGCCUUAGCUGGCCGUCCCGCUCCAAGUUCGUUCCCUACCCUGCUUGAUACUGAAGCACUUAAGGCUGAAGGCAAUGUGUACAUGAGAGAUGUGGUUUGUAUUACAAUAGCAGAUGCGGCAAGUGGAACUUCAGGCCUGUCAAGGUAGCCGGCUAGAACUGUCAUGAACUCAUACCACCACCACUCUAAGCAAACUGCUAAACAACUAGGUAUAGCAAGUUGAAGAAGUAUUAUCCAUUGCUCUCCCACAGAAAUGGAAGGAAGAAGUUUUAUAUUUUCUGGUAGGGGCUUUGACAGAGAUCCAUGUUGGUCAUAAGUAAAGAAGAUAUAGCCUAAAAGGAAGAAUAAGGUGACAAAGUCAGAGACAAAGGUUGAAAUUGCAAUUCCUUGAAUCCCGAGACGGAGAGUAAAAGUCAGGUAAACUGUGAUAGGGAAAUGCAACACUGUUGCAAGUGAAGUACACCAUAAUAGAGGCCAUGUUGUCCCUUUACACCGUAGGUAGAUGCGUAAAGGGUGAAGAAAGCUGUUAGCAAUAAGAUCUGGGACAGCAAAUCUGCAAAAUACACUUGCGACAUGUAUUAUUUGUGAGUCUUGGUGUAGCUUUAGCAUGAGAGACUCAAAAUUAAACCAUAAAAACGCAAUAGGUAUAGAUGCAGUUAAUAACAUAAAGAUUGUCCUUUGAAGGGCAAGAGACACUAUAGUUAAGUUUCUUGAUCCAAAAGCCUGACUAGAAAGUGGUUCCAUCCCCAAGGCUAGGCCAGACAAUACAGAGUAACCAGUUAUAUUGGUGAAGCCAAUGGCCAGUGCACCCCCUGCCAGUUCCAAGCUUCCCAGCCUUCCCAUGCACACAACUAAAAUCAUGUUUUUUAAGUAGGUCGCCAAGCCCAUAGCAAGUAUAGGAAAACCUCUGUCCAUUAUUUUCUUCAAUUCCUCCGUGACCUAGAAAUUAUGGUUUAAAAAGAAUGUGCUGGUCAGGGUGAUUCAUACACAUUUUCUUGUGAUUUCAAAUAUUUUAAAAGGAUUCUGCAGUUUAUACCUCUGGUAAAGUCGGGUGUGUUUUGGUCUGCUCUGCUGCCAUCUUCUUUAAGCUUCGUCCUCUUUCCUCUUGUUUGCUUGUUUUGAAGUGUUAUACAGAGAGCUUAACUCUGUAUAAAUCCUCUUUGUGCAUGCACUUCUGUAUCCAUGCGCAAAUACCACCCACUCACGUGCACUUAUGUAAGAUGUAGAGAGAGGGAGCAAUAUAUAGAGAGAGGAAGAGAGGGAAGGAGAUACUGAGAGACACUAGCUUGAGUGUCCAGGAGCAAGGAUAUUUAUAGGGGCUGCAGGUGCUGGUGGAUUUCUGAGUUACUGGUUGUUGAAAGUUUAGACCUGGAGUUGAGCUAUGUAAUGAAGCACGGUGAAUAUUAUUUACAUCGAGUAAUAAGGUGCACUCUCCUGGUCCAACUGUCGUGGUUACAGUUUGUCCUUUUCCCAAGUAUGUUAGAACAUAUCGACUUCACAGCAAACGUAGUAACAUAUCCACUUCUCCUUCUUAAAGAACUAUGCUCGAAUGUUAUGUUACUGAUAUAUUCCGGCCUGAAAAUGUUUUAGUAUUGAGCUGUAAAUAUUGUACACGUAUAUUUUGUUAAUUAGAGGUUCUUUCUUGUUAUCCUUUUACCUUUGGGUUUUAUGUAUUUCUACUUUCGCAUUGUACGUUGAACUACUCAAGGGGCUCAAACUGUAGCUUGGGUUGGGGCCUUUCGUCAUAUGCAUUCAAGGUCUGUAUUUUCAUCAUUACUUUGGGAGGAUGCCACUAAGGAGACAUUUAAAUUGACUUCUCUAAACCACUUAGGAUCAAUCUGAGUCAAAUGAUGGGAAUUUUCUAUUUAUAAUGCAUAGAAAUGAUUACUUUUCUAUUUGUAUAGGAUGUCUUAUUUAAAGCAAAUCUGAAGUUAACGGGGUAUACUCACCGUAUUCUGAUUUUCUUAUUGUGAGCUGCAACCUUGAGUUCAUUGGAGUACAAAGUGGCCUAACUAUUAUUGUUCCUUUUGAUAAUUAGAAUUAGGUAAUGCCUUUUCUCAUGCUAAUGAUGGCAUCUAAAACUAUGUUAGUGGUGGUGGUCCCAUGUUUGAGCCCUUCUCACAUGCUAGUUGGUGUUUUUAGGAUAAGCAAAAACCUUCCAGUGAUGUUUACAUCUAUGGUUAUUCUAGUGUAUCCAAAAGAUCCCAAGGCCAAACACCAUUUUAAAUUAUAGCACACCCCUUGUCCUGAAAAGUUAUUACAACUGUCUUCUUUCAAUUUCAUAUCCUAAUUGUACAUGCUUUCUGUAUCCCACCCCACUUUGGUUUCCACAUCUCCUGCGUAUAACGAAGUGUUAAUACCUACCUCCCCUUAGAUUAGUUAGUUAUUUUUGUACUCCUGUUGUGCAAGGUUGUUUUCCUCUUACACUUCGGUGUCUUUAGUUGGGGGUACAUGCUUUUGUGCACCAGUGAAUGUCUAGCUCCGUGGUUCACUAUGCAUACUUGCUUUUGUUUUUGUACCUGUCUUAUAUCUUUCAAUCCACUACUACUUUUCCCUGUACAACAGCUUACAUGAGGGACAUUCCACCUUAUGUUCAACGUCUAUCCUUUUCAAAAUCUCAUUAGUUAGUAAAGAAAGUGCAUUUGAAUAGAGGAAAAGAACAAUUUACAAGGUUCCUAUCUUUUAGGUCGAAGCUCACCGUUUCCUUUUCACUCAGGUUAUUCUCUUCAGGUCACAUAGGUGUUCUAGAAGAAACCUCCCUUGUCUCCAUGUCUCUAUGGUAAUAUUGACUGAAGGUAACUUAAGUGCAUGCUCGGUGUGAAGUUUCUUAUUUUUCCAUGUUUGGUUGGACAAAAUUUUUGGAAAACAAGUUCCUAAAAAUUGAGGAAAGUGAGUUUCUCAAUAAAGUAGGAAAAACAAGUUCUAUACGUGACAUUCGAUGUUUAUUAUAUCCCAACCACCUCUAUAGUAUUUUGCUCGCUUAUGUAUAAAUGCUCUUGAGAUAACUUUUUUUUUAAUACUUACCAAACACUAAAAAAUAAGUAAGAAACCAACUUGUUUGUCAAGAAAACAUUUUCCAUUAAAAAUAUCCACCCUCGUACCAGACACACCCUAAGUCAUUUGAAUUGAAGGUAAUGUUGUCACAUUGUGAUGAAACCAUCCAUGUGCAAUUUAGUUAAACCUCUGGCAAAUAGCUACUUAUCAAUAUUGAAUCAUUGCACUUUUCUUUAUAGUGUCAACAAAUUGCAUAUCGGGCGCCAUCAUCUUCCCUCCUAACUUCAUUAUAGAUAAGAAGAGAAUUAUCUCUCUUUUAGCAUCAAAAUAGCAUUUUCAACAGCUAGUAUUGUAUGGUUGUUUGGAGAAACCGCUACUGUCUUAGAAGGCGACUUCUGCAUUUAAGCUGCUAAAAUGUUGCACAUUUUGGUCCCAAAGUUUCAAGCAUUGUAUUAUUUGUAUCACAGAAGUCAAAAAACCGACAAUGUUUUUCAUAUUCCCCCACUCACACCUCUAUAUUUCCAUCAACUUCAUUUGUGUCCGAGACAUGGGAGAAGUUGAAAAAACCAUAGCAUUUUGAUAGGAGAUGAUGUUCAGCACUAACCACCAAAUGGGUCUUAAUGUUGCUUCUGUCUGAAAAUUUAAGCAAUAACUCUACUGUACAAACGUUUUGACAUUCGACCAAUGCCUUUGUUCCUUGUCCCACAGCUGCUUUGGUUGGCUUCUUAGUAUUCUUUCCUUUCUUCUCCCACUUUUGACCAGCAAAAACAGAACUUGUUUAUUGUUAUCUAAUCACAAUUAUUAAAUAAUAACCUAUAGUUUGUGAACGAACUGUACAUAAUUAAAGUCAAAAUUAACAGCCAAAAGAGAUUUUAUGGAUCUUAGUGUCAUAAUCCUCCCCUAGGGCCCAUAGAGCAUGAUUUUUUCCUUACUGGAUAUAGCACUAAUCUCCAGCAGAUUUUAGUCAUAAUCUCUCUAAUUAGGGUUUCAAACCGCAAGUAUGAUUGUUAUUUACAGCAAGCAACAUCUUUAGAAUAGGAAAAUCGUUAGUGGAAAGAAUCUCCUAUUAUUAGAUUGCCCACAUCAUUUGGUCUCCACAUCAUGAAGUGCUCCCAAUCCUGAAAGGCAUAUCGUUAUCAUCAAAGCUUAAAAAGAUGAAUAAAUUGACCAUUGUUCAACUUUUUCCCUGUACCAGAUUCUUGCACAUGAAAGGAAUAUCCGAACGUCUUAGGAACGCGUUCGAGAAAAUGGACUAGAUCAUGUUACCUAAUCAAAAGGUUUGACUUAAUUGUUGAAACUUUUACAUUUAUGGUGGUAACAUUAUUUUAUAUUGUCAGUGGUAUAGGAUUCUAUCUCCUCUUUAUUUUUCCUUCUCGCUUGAACGAAUUAGAAUACGUUAAUAUGUAAUGAUUAUUCACUAUUGUAACUCAAUUGGAAUUCGCAAAAUUGACAUUCAAGAAAUUGGGAUUUUAUUGAUCAAUUGGGUCUAUUACAAGAUUCUAAUACAACAAGAAAUGAACUAAGCUUCCUUGGUAGAACUUGAGGUCGAACAACAAUGGUGAUUACUUGGAGAAUAAGGAUAGAAAAGAGUGAGGAACGUGAAGAGGAAGAAGAGAGAAGAAGAAGAAAAUGGGAGGAAGGUAACUGAGUACCAGUAAUUCACUGAACUACUUUUCCUUCAGACAGAUUCUUAACUGCUAAUUAGGGUCGUUGAUCAAACCAGGCUAAUUAGGGUCGUUGAUCAAGCCAGCUGUAAUUGCGUGUGGACCGUUCGAUUUGCACCCUUGUGACUUGCAUGUGCCCUUUAUUAAUCCCAAUUCUUGCUUCAACUGUCUCCACGUGUAUUCCACUAUUGACUCCUUUCUUAGACAUUUCCAUUACUACUACUUUCCAUUUCUAAUUCAUAAGUACUUUUCCAAUUUCCUUCGUUCCAAUCCUUAAUCCCCUUUUCUUCCAUAUCCAGUCAUAUCACUACCCCCGGUAAAAAAUGACCUUGUCCUCAAGGUCGAUGAUCAGCCAUGAACUUCGAAAAUUGACCUUUAAGGAAGCCCCAAUCCUCUCAGGUGACAUCCCCGGUCCCAUGUUGGACCAUUGGACUAAGAGCUUGACACUUGCAACAUUGUUUUCACGUACUAAUCGACGUUGUAGGAUGGCAAUGGGUUGCACCAAGACCCGACCCUCAGCGUCACAAGUUGGGGGCUAUUGUUGAGGCUCAAUAGCUGGACCAACACACCUUUUGAGCUGCGAGACAUGGAAAAUAAGGUGGAUCUGCGACCCUUAAGGUAACUCCAGCUGGUAAGCAACUGACCUAAUACGUCUGAUAAUCAUAGUACUUAGCACAAAGCUUUAAAUUUAUGCGUAUAGCAACGGAAGUUUGACGACAGGGCUGUAGUUUCAAGUCGACCAGGUCUCCUACCUGUAACUCUCUAUCAGUUUGAUUCUUAUCUGCAAAGUGCUUCAUACGAUCCUGCACUUGUUGAAGGUUCUCUCUUAAAUUUUGUAGCAUGUUUUGUCGUUGGGCUAAGUUAAGACCUAAGGGCAUGUGAAGAGAGUAAGGUAAGGACCCUAAGGGCACCUGGGAGGUAAAAAUUCGUAUAGUGCCUCGAAAGGAGUAGCCUUUAGGGAGCAAUAGUGGUUGGUAUUAUACGACACUCGGCCAAUGGCAGCCACUAUUUAAGAUUAGAGAAGACUGUAGCUAGGGGUGUACAGACCAAACCACCAAGUCAAAUCGAACCGAGAAAAAAAAUCCACUUAUGAUUUGGUUUGAUUGGUUUGGCGUUAGAAAAAAAAAUCGACCAUUCUUGGUUUGGUUUGGUGUUAGCCAAAAAGAAGUCAAACCUAACCCGAAUCAAACCGACAUAAUAUAUAUAUAUAUAUAUAUAAAGUGUGAAGAUCCUUAAAAAAAUUAUUUGAACUUUUUGUCCUUCAUUAAAAGAUCAUCUUUUAGACAAAACUAUUUUUUCACUAUUUUCUUCAAUUUAUUAUUUAAUUAUUUCUAUUAUAUUAACUAGACUCCUAAAAUAUAUGGAAGGAGAAUCAAUUAAUAUUUUCCUUUGUAGUGAUCAAUUAGAAAAAUACUCCUAAAAUAGGAUAGAAAAAUACUCCUAAACUAGGAUUCUAUUAAGGAAAUACUUCUAUAAAUAUUGAGAUGCCCGUUAAACUACCAAAGAAAUCGAUAUACUUAUUGAAAAAAUAUGAUUGAUGCUCAUCUAAUCUAAUUCAGUUGCAUGUCUAGAUUGGUGGAUGCUUAAUUUUCUAACCCUCAACUUCUUCACUGUUUUUGUCAACAUAAUAGAAUUCAAAACAGUCCACAAAUCACAACAUAAUAGUACCUAGUAAUGAUACAAGACAAGCAGGAGGAACACGAAACAGUCACAAAACAGUCCAAUACACCCUCUAAAACAGUCCACAAUCACAACAAAUUGUGAACCAAAUGGAGACCUCACUCGAAUUCAACAAAUACAACAAGAAUACAAGAAACAAAGGUGUAUUUGACACCGAAAACAGCCACAAAUCGUGAAGAACAAGAUGACAACAAGAACACAAAUUUUUGGAUUCAACAAGACACAAAAACAGUCCACUACAAACAAUAACAAGAUUACAAGAAUAAAAGGAUAAAUAGUGAGAUAUAGAUUUGUUACAAGACUUAGGAACAAAAUGUGAUUCAAACGCUAAACCCCUAAUUAAUGUAACAACAACAACACACUCUUACGGUGAUCGCCAAGGGAAUCACUCACCUCAAGAUUCACUAUUUUCAAGCAAAGAACAAUAUUGGCUUUUUCAAGCCCUAACUAAGAACUAUACUAAUGUGUUGCACUCUCCAAAGAGAUAAUAAGUCUUUCAAAUGUUCAUCAUUCAUUAACUAAAGAGAAAUGACCUAAAAUAGAAUAUAUAUAGUAUAUUACAAAAGAAAGAUAAAAUGACUCCAAUGCCCUUAAUGAGGUGGGUGGCAAUGGAGUGUCAUUUAGACAAAGCUAAAUGACCAAAAUGACCUUGAGGCUAAGUGACCAAAAUGACCUUAAUAAAAGAGGCCAAAAUCGUGAACCAUCAAAUGUGGUCCAAACCCGUGAGUCCUCUAGUCUUCAAGGCUCCAAGCAAUCUUCCACACACGGGUUUGUUUGAUGGCAUGCUCAAAAUAACCCCUACAAGUAUGAUCCUGUGCCCUUCAUGGGACCAAAGCUUGAUUCUUCACGUAGUGACUUUGAAUGAUAUCAUCGAAAGCUACGGCGGUCACUUCACUUGUAUCAUCCUCCCCUUCUUGAAAAGGAUUCGACCUCGAAUCCGUACGUUGCAAAACAAGAGAAAGGACAAACAAGCACAACAUCCUCAUGGCAUAAGGGUUGGGGUUAGCACAAUAAUAAAUAUCAUCACGCCAAGGGGGUACAUACUUGAAGUAUAACCAAGAAUCCUUUAAAGUGAGUAUUAAAAACUCAAUGAAAGAUGUACAAAGGAUUUGGUUAUGGGAUACACCAAGAGUGAUACUUUUCUUGUCAUGUAGACCAAGCAACAAGUUGGGUGCACCAACAUCACUAUUUAUACAUUUGGCAUCGGGGUCAAAUGGGAAAAAUGGCCAUAAACACGGGUCUAAACAACACUCCCCUUUCCCAUGGUCUACUCCCAAACUAAACGACAUACUCUCUAUAAUAGCAUACAUAUCAUCCAAAGAAAAUAGAGAGUAGAGAAAAGUAUCACUCAAAUCGACUUCUACCAAGGUUCCCUCAUGUGUGUACUCCCUACCAGUUUCCCAAUAAUAACCAUGAGUACUCUCAACAAUAAAGCCACACAAAGUAAAAGAAGUAGCUUCCGUAACUACACAUUCCUUACCCUUAAGAGUAUUCUCAUCUUCCAAGAAAAGAUUUCCAUUUUUGGGAGGAAUGUUGUCACACCAAAGUGGGUUAGCAUAUAGGCUAUAGCUUCCAAGGCAAGUUAUAUCAUCAUUUUCACCACUAGCUUUAUUAGAAGUGUUUAAAUCAUCUUCAAAGAAGACAUUACACCUAAAGAAAGUGUGAUCUACCUCACGGACAGAUUUGGAAUAAGCAAAUUCCUCACACUCUAAAUGAUCAAUAUCAAGUUUCAAGGAUGUUCCAAACAUAAGAUUACCCCAAGAAGAGAUCUAGGGUUCACUCCCACUUUGUUGACCAACAUUUUCAAAUACUUCACUCACUUGAGUUCUAUUAAGCACAUCACACACAUACUCGGGGGGGUGGGAGGGGGGGACAAUUUUCACAAACAAGUUGAUUAACACCAAUUACAUAAAAUGAUGUACUUCCGUUCAACAUAUAGGCUUCAACACUAGGUGGACAUAAAUUGAUCUUACAAGAAGAGUCAAUUUCGUCAUCACUAGGAUCAACUAGUGUAUGUAAACUCACAAUAUGUACAUCAUCAACAAGAGGCAAGGAAUCAUUAGACUCAUAAAUAAGUAAGCUACUACUCACACUCAAUGGCUUACUAGCUACACAAUUAUCAUUCACAUGCACUAAAGUGUAAGAGUUAGCUAUUUUACCUUUAAGAUCUUGAGUAGACUCUUCCUUGUAGUGAGGUGAAGGUCCUCCACAAGCUUGGGCAACAACUUCCUUUUGGCAUUGUUCGCCUUCGCUUGCCAUGUUGGUACCUACACAAAUGUCCUUAGAAAUGGAAAGACAACCAAUGUUAGCACGGUUUGGUGACAAUCCCCUCACUUCGCUCGACAUAUCCUCUCUUUUUUCUACUCUCGAAUUACCACCUUGCACUCUCUUACUCCUCUCAAUCUUUUGUCUGUUAUCAUAAAUCGGAUUGGAAUAGGUAAGCAUUUCUCUUUGCGGUUUGGGUAGCAAGUACGUUAUGAGGCGAUUUCCCCAUUGGUCUCUUACAACAUUAGGCCAAUUUUGCACGUUAGGAACUUGAUGUCCUGCAAACCAAUCGGUACCCAAGCUCAUAUGACCGUAGGUUAAGGAAAAAACAUCGCACCACACCUCCUCAUGGUAAUCAAAUUGGGAGAAGACAACUUUUACCUUCUCGGUAACCUUGAACUCGCCCAAGUAGUAUAGAAUAAGUAAAGGCUCUCGAAAUAACCCCAAGUAGUCAACCAUGGACGCAAGAAUGUAGUUUCCAUAGUACCUAUCAUUCAACACCAUAAGACAGCCCGGUAUCCCACAAAUAGUCACCUUUUCGGAGUGUACACUCCUCCUUGGAUCAACAUUGUAAGGCACACGAAUACCUAUCGGUUUUGGAGAUGCUUGCCCUCUUCUUCUCAUGGGACAACCUCUACUAUAGCUAAUCUAACCAAUCACACCAUGUCGACCUUGAUAAAAAGUACUACAAGGUGAAGAAUAUGAUCUUUCACACUCCACAUGUAUACUCUCAUCAUAGCUCUCUUAAGUUUUGCGAAUGAAGGGGUUAUACCUAACACCAAAUGUAGGUUCAGAGAGGGAAGUAUAAGACUCCCCAUAUGCCCCAACUUCAUCAUAAGAACCAUCACGAGGUCCUACUUCAUCUCCAAAUUCACCAUAAGCACUAGGCAUAUCAUUCCCCUCAUUUUCUCCCCUAAACCUGAGACCCUCAAAUCUGCCCAAGUUUUGAUCAUGGCUAUUUUCAUAGGCCCCAUAAUCUCCCUCAACUUCGUAGCCAUAAAACCCCUUACUACAAUCAUAGUCUCCCAAGCAAAGAACAAUAUUGGCUUUUCCAAGCCCUAUACUAAGGAUAACUUUUCCAAGCCCUAACUAAGAACUAUACUAAGGUGUUGCACUCUCCAAAGAGAGAAUAAGUCUUUCAAAUGUUCAUCAUUCAUUAACUAAAGAGAAAUGACCUAAAAUAGACUAUAUAUAGUAUAUUAAAAAGAAAGAUAAAAUGACUCCAAUGCCCUUAAUAAGGUGGGUGGCAAUGGAGUGUCAUUUAAACAAGGCUAAAAGACCAAAAUGACCUUGAGUCCUCUAGUCUUCAAGGCUCCAAGCAAUCUUCCACACACGGGUUUGUUUGAUGACAUGCUCAAAAUAACCCUACAAGGAUGAUCCCGUGCCCUCGAUGGGACCAAAGCUUGAUUCUUCAUGUAGUGACUUUGAAUGAUGCCAUCAAAAGCUAAGGCGGUUAUUUCACUUGUAUUAUAGUAAGUCCUAGAAAACCCCUUAAGGAUUUGAUGGAUAUAGGUUUAGGCCAAGUCACCAUGGAAUCCACCUUAGCGGGGUCUGUACAUACCCCUUGUGCAGUGAUAAUAUGGCCCAAAUAUUCUACUUAUGAUAGUCCAAAAGAGCAUUUAGACAAUUUAGUAAAAAGCUACUCCUUUCUCAGUAUUAUAAGGACCUAGGACCUUCUUGAGAUGAAUAGUGUGCUCCAGUAGUGAAGUGUUUUACAUAGUAUGUCAUCGAAAAAUGUGAGCACAAACUUCCUCAGAUGCUCUCUAAACACAUGAUUCAUGGGACUUUGAAAUGUGGCUGGGGCAUUGGUCAACCCAAAAAGCAUGACCUUAAAUUCAUAAUGCCCUAACUCUGUCACAAAACCAGCUUUUGGAAUAUCUAAUCCUAAUAUGGUGGUACCCUGCUCUUAAGUCAGCUUUUGAGAAAAUAGUGGAUCCAUUUAACUUAUUCAUUAGAUCUUUACCAGCGGAAUAGGAAACUUAUCCUUAACAGUGGUCUUGCUAAGCUCUCUAUAGUCAACACAAAACCUCCAACUACCAUUUUUUUUCUUGACUAGCAAUACUGGUGAGCAAAAAGGAGAGUGACUUGGUUGUAUUGUAUCAUGUUUAAGCAUAUCUGCAAUAUGUUUUUCUAUUUCAUUCUUCUAAAAGUAAUUGUACCUGUACGGUCUAAUGUUGAUCGGUGGUGCAUCACUUUUCAGAGGAAUGUGGCGGUCAUGGCUUCUAUAUAGAGGCAAGGACUUGGGUUUUUCAAACACAUCUGGGAACUCAUCAAGCACCUGAUGUCACUUCUCAG
rnacentral:lncRNA from 1 species